rnacentral:rRNA from 1 species
UACGUAGGGUGCAAGCGUUAAUCGGAAUUACUGGGCGUAAAGCGCGCGCAGGUGGUUCCUUAAGUCUGAUGUGAAAGCCCCCGGCUCAACCGGGGAGGGUCAUUGGAAACUGGGGAACUUGAGUGUAGAAGAGGAAAGUGGAAUUCCACGGUGUAGCGGUGAAAUGCGUAGAGAUGUGGAGGAACACCAGUGGCGAAGGCGGCUCACUGGGCUGACCUUGACGCUGAGGCGCGAAGGCGUGGGGAGCGAACGGG